GCAAACUUGGUCAUUUAGAGGAAGUAAAAGUCGUAACAAGGUUUCCGUAGGUGAGUAAAUCGAUGCAACCCACGCUCCGAAUCAACUUUAUACUAACAGAGGCUUAGGUGAACCUGCGGAAGGAUCAUUACCGAGUGUUGGCGGAUUCUCGUCCGCCGCCUCCCGUCCUUUGCCUUUUGAAAAUCAUUGCUUCGGCGGGGAGACCCGCCGGCGCACCCCUUCAACCCUCUGUUAAAAACCGGUGUCCGAGGGCCUUCGGGCUUGAGAAUGAAUGAAAACUUUCAACAACGGAUCUCUUGGUUCCGGCAUCGAUGAAGAACGCAGC
rnacentral:misc_RNA from 1 species